rnacentral:rRNA from 1 species
GAUGAACGCUGGCGGCGUGCCUAAUACAUGCGAGUCGAGCGAACAGACGAGGAGCUUGCUCCUCUGACGUUAGCGGCGGACGGGUGAGUAACACGUGGAUAACCUACCUAUAAGACUGGGAUAACUUCGGGAAACCGGAGCUAAUACCGGAUAAUAUAUUGAACCGCAUGGUUCAAUAGUGAAAGACGGUUUUGCUGUCACUUAUAGAUGGAUCCGCGCCGCAUUAGCUAGUUGGUAAGGUAACGGCUUACCAAGGCAACGAUGCGUAGCCGACCUGAGAGGGUGAUCGGCCACACUGGAACUGAGACACGGUCCAGACUCCUACGGGAGGCAGCAGUAGGGAAUCUUCCGCAAUGGGCGAAAGCCUGACGGAGCAACGCCGCGUGAGUGAUGAAGGUCUUCGGAUCGUAAAACUCUGUUAUUAGGGAAGAACAAAUGUGUAAGUAACUAUACACGUCUUGACGGUACCUAAUCAGAAAGCCACGGCUAACUACGUG